GAUGAACGCUGGCGGCGUGCCUAAUACAUGCAAGUCGAGCGAACGGACGAGAAGCUUGCUUCUCUGAUGUUAGCGGCGGACGGGUGAGUAACACGUGGAUAACCUACCUAUAAGACUGGGAUAACUUCGGGACACCGGAGCUAAUACCGGAUAAUAUUUUGAACCGCAUGGUUCAAAAGUGAAAGACGGUCUUGCUGUCACUUAUAGAUGGAUCCGCGCUGCAUUAGCUAGUUGGUAAGGUAACGGCUUACCAAGGCAACGAUGCAUAGCCGACCUGAGAGGGUGAUCGGCCACACUGGAACUGAGACACGGUCCAGACUCCUACGGGAGGCAGCAGUAGGGAAUCUUCCGCAAUGGGCGAAAGCCUGACGGAGCAACGCCGCGUGAGUGAUGAAGGUCUUCGGAUCGUAAAACUCUGUUAUUAGGGAAGAACGUAUGUGUAAGUAACUGUGCACAUCUUGACGGUACCUAAUCAGAAAGCCACGGCUAACUACGUG
rnacentral:rRNA from 1 species